AUUGAACGCUGGCGGCAUGCCUUACACAUGCAAGUCGAACGGUAACAGGUCUUCGGAUGCUGACGAGUGGCGAACGGGUGAGUAAUACAUCGGAACGUGCCUAGUAGUGGGGGAUAACUACUCGAAAGAGUGGCUAAUACCGCAUGAGAUCUACGGAUGAAAGCAGGGGAUCGCAAGACCUUGUGCUACUAGAGCGGCCGAGGGCAGAUUAGGUAGUUGGUGGGAUAAAAGCUUACCAAGCCGACGAUCUGUAGCUGGUCUGAGAGGACGAUCAGCCACACUGGGACUGAGACACGGCCCAGACUCCUACGGGAGGCAGCAGUGGGGAAUUUUGGACGAUGGGCGCAAGCCUGACCCAGCAAUGCCGCGUGCAGGAUGAAGGCCUUCGGGUUGUAAACUGCUUUUGUACGGAACGAAAAGCCCUGGGUUAAUACCCUGAGGUCAUGACGGUACCGUAAGAAUAAGCACCGGCUAACUACGUGCCAGCCGCCGCCGUAAAAC
rnacentral:rRNA from 1 species